rnacentral:rRNA from 1 species
GCGUUGUUCGGAAUUACUGGGCGUAAAGCGCACGUAGGCGGCUUUGUAAGUUAGAGGUGAAAGCCCGGGGCUCAACUCCGGAACUGCCUUUAAGACUGCAUCGCUUGAAUCCAGGAGAGGUGAGUGGAAUUCCGAGUGUAGAGGUGAAAUUCGUAGAUAUUCGGAAGAACACCAGUGGCGAAGGCGGCUCACUGGACUGGUAUUGACGCUGAGGUGCGAAAGCGUG